GACGAACGCUGGCGGCGUGCCAAAUACAUGCAAGUCGAACGCUUUUUCUUUCACCGGAGCUUGCUCCACCGAAAGAAAAAGAGUGGCGAACGGGUGAGUAACACGUGGGUAACCUGCCCAUCAGAAGGGGAUAACACUUGGAAACAGGUGCUAAUACCGUAUAACACUAUUUUCCGCAUGGAAGAAAGUUGAAAGGCGCUUUUGCGUCACUGAUGGAGGGACCCGGGGUGCAUUAGCUAGUUGGUGAGGUAACGGCUCACCAAGGCAACGAUGCAUAGCCGACCUGAGAGGGUGAUCGGCCACACGGGGACUGAGACACGGCCCAGACUCCUACGGGAGGCAGCAGUAGGGAAUCUUCGGCAAUGGACGAAAGUCUGACCGAGCAACGCCGCGUGAGUGAAGAAGGUUUUCGGAUCGUAAAACUCUGUUGUUAGAGAAGAACAAGGAUGAGAGUAAAAUGUUCAUCCCUUGACGGUAUCUAACCAGAAAGCCACGGCUAACUCCGUGCCAGCCGCCGCUGUAA
rnacentral:rRNA from 1 species